rnacentral:rRNA from 1 species
UACGAAGGGGGCUAGCGUUGCUCGGAAUCACUGGGCGUAAAGGGUGCGUAGGCGGGGCUUUAAGUCAGGGGUGAAAUCCUGGAGCUCAACUCCAGAACUGCCUUUGAUACUGAAGAUCUUGAGUUCGGGAGAGGUGAGUGGAACUGCGAGUGUAGAGGUGAAAUUCGUAGAUAUUCGCAAGAACACCGGUGGCGAAGGCGGCCUGCUGGGACGUGGCUGACGCUGAGGCGCGACAGCGUGGGGAGCAAACAGG